GACGAACGCUGGCGGCGUGCUUAACACAUGCAAGUCGAACGAGAGCGUAGAGAAAGCUUGCUUUUUCUACAAUCUAGUGGCAAACGGGUGAGUAACGCGUAAACAACCUGCCCUACGGAUGGGGACAACAGCUGGAAACGGCUGCUAAUACCGAAUACGUUCCGAAAGUCGCAUGACUGUCGGAAGAAAGGAUGGCCUCUAUUUAUAAGCUAUCGCCGGAGGAGGGGUUUGCGUCUGAUUAGCUGGUUGGAGGGGUAACGGCCCACCAAGGCGACGAUCAGUAGCCGGUCUGAGAGGAUGAACGGCCACAUUGGAACUGAGACACGGUCCAGACUCCUACGGGAGGCAGCAGUGGGGAAUCUUCCGCAAUGGGCGAAAGCCUGACGGAGCAAUGCCGCGUGAGUGAAGACGGCCUUCGGGUUGUAAAGCUCUGUUAUACGGGACGAAUAAUCUUGUGGUUAAUACCCAUGAGAAGUGACGGUACCGUAAGAGAAAGCCACGGCUAACUACGUGC
rnacentral:rRNA from 1 species